UACGAAGGGGGCUAGCGUUGUUCGGAAUUACUGGGCGUAAAGGGCGCGUAGGCUGUGCUGUAAGUCAGGCGUGAAAGGCCCGGGCUCAACCUGGGAAUGGCGCUUGAUACUGCGGCGCUGGAAGGUGGGAGAGGAUGGCGGAAUUCCCAGUGUAGAGGUGAAAUUCGUAGAUAUUAGGAAGAACACCGGUGGCGAAGGCGGCCCACUGGAUCGGUACUGACGCUGAGGUGCGAAAGCGUGGGGAGCAAACAGG
rnacentral:rRNA from 1 species